rnacentral:rRNA from 1 species
GACGGAGGGCGCGAGCGUUGUCCGGAUUUAUUGGGCGUAAAGAGCUCGUAGGCGGCUUGUUGCGUCGGCCGUGAAAACCCGCGGCUUAACUGCGGGCUUGCGGUCGAUACGGGCGGGCUGGAGUUCGGUAGGGGAGACUGGAAUUCCUGGUGUAGCGGUGAAAUGCGCAGAUAUCAGGAGGAACACCGGUGGCGAAGGCGGCUUGCUGGGCCUUACCUGACGCUGAGGAGCGAAAGCGUGGGGAGCGAACAGG